rnacentral:rRNA from 1 species
CAGUAGCCGCGGUAAUACGAAGGGUGCAAGCGUUAAUCGGAAUUACUGGGCGUAAAACGUGCGUAGGCGGUGAUGUAAGACAGAUGUGAAAUCCCCGGGCUCAACCUGGGAACUGCAUUAGUGACUGCAUCGCUGGAGUGCGGCAGAGGGGGAUGGAAUUCCGCGUGUAGCAGUGAAAUGCGUAGAUAUGCGGAGGAACACCGAUGGCGAAGGCAAUCCCCUGGGCCUGCACUGACGCUCAUGCACGAAAGCGUGGGGAGCAAACAGGAUUAGAUACCCGAGUAGUCCCUGUCUCUUAUAC